GUGCUCACUUCAGCAGCACAUGUAUUAAGAUUGGAACGACAUAGAGAAGACUAGCAUGACCCCUGUGCAAGGAUGACACACAAUUCGUGAAGCAUUCCAUAAAAAA
ensembl:snRNA U6 U6 spliceosomal RNA